UUACCUGGCCCAGCGUAGACAUUGUUAUGUCGAGUUCCCGCUACGCCGGGCCCGUAUCCAAAGCAGGAUGAAUUCUGGACGAGCUCAAACUUGCCGUCUCUUUCCCAAAUAUGCAUAAGUCCUUCUUUAGCGCCACAUGUUUUUAAUUAAAGAGUGUUUGGUUGUAUGUUGCCGAGAUGUGAGUCAGAGCGAGAGAGAGCGAUGUGUAAUGCAUAAGGUUUAACGUCUGGGUCAGGAUUUAAGUUCUCAUCGUCGACACCUACGAGCUGUUUGUGCCAACGGUUUGUGUGCUUGUGGUCUGUCGUCUACACGCAGCAAAUCUCUGCGUGUGGUUUAGGGCUGUCUUAGACUGUCUGCCUCUGGCCUUCCUGUUCUAUAUUCAUUGUCUCAUGGUUGUUGUUCCUCUUUUUCCCGCCCGCCUGCAGAUUGUGUCAUGAGGAGCGGACGCUGUCUGAAAGCACGAGACGCUGUCUCACUCCUGCGCUCCUCCACAGGGCUGUGAAGUGGGUGUCUGUGGCAGAUCCUGUACAGAUCAUCUCUUACACUCUGUUCCUGCUGUCUGUUGUGGAACACGGCGCUCCUGCUAGACGACAGACAGAGCGAGAGAAUCACUGAGAGCUCUGCCACCUGCACAUACCUUCCUGAUAAUGUAACUGCCUCAAGGCCCAAACUUCACUGUAUUAUCAACAUUCCCAACCAAGCCAUCCAUCUAUCCAACCAUCUCUGUAUUCACUACGCUUUAGUGUGUCAGAAGCAUCUUGGCGAUGUUGCCACAGUUCUUAUGGAAUUCUGGAAUCUCUUCAUGCAAUCCCUGGAAGACUUCAUGGUGAAAUCAGAUCUGUGUGUGGUCCAUAUACCAUCUGUUGUAUGACUCUCACUUACUACAGUUAAUGUCUGGAAAUCCAUAAGGAUAUUUCCCGCUGACACAUUACAGCAAACGAUAUACUAAAUGAAAAGAAAGUUCAUUUGAACAAUGGACGCAAGAGUUUGCGAGGCGUACGUCUGUCAGCGGGAGCUGCAGCCGUUGCAGUGGUGAGGCGCGAUGAUUGACAGGUCAAGGCGGAGGAGAGCUUUUAUUAAUAAAAGUUGUAUUUCUUUGUUUAAUAUAAGUAGCGUUGUCCUUGUUUUAUUGUUGCAUUUUCCUUUAAAAUAAUAAUAAACCACAAACUGUGUUGAAGUAAGGGUAAAA